CGGGAGAAACAGGGGUUCUCAUAGGAAGUUCCUCAAGCCCGUCUUCCAACGCUGCAUUCCUUAAGGGGAGGUUGGAGUGGACUUAGUUUAAAGAGCGACACAACAAUGCAAACAAAACCACUCCCUGACACUGGGCCUGCGCCACAAUUGGCUCAGACAGCCAGGUCUCCUAGGUUCUUCCCUUCAGGGACAUGUACUCCCAGGUCUGCAAGAGCACAGUGUGCUGCAACCCACUCUUGGGUAGAACAGAAAUGCCAUCUUGAAUAUUUACUGUUUUCUAUUACUCUUUAUCUACCCACAUCCCAAAUUAAAUGGGUGUCAUCAGAACUUUAAAAAGUGAGGGCUUUUGGUUUUUAUUUUAUUUUUUUAUUUAGAAACCACAUACCAACAUUUAAGGGCAUCUUAUAAUAGUUGGUGAAACAGACAAAAGAUGCUGAGAACGAAAUACUUUUAAAUAGAAAAGUGUUGUAUGUGAUUACUGGAAUUGAUAUGUAUGCUAAAAAUAAGAAUUCCAGUUGUUUCCCCCCUUUUCCAUUUAUUUUGUAUACAACAAAUAUUAACUGAUUGCUUACUAUUUACCAAGCACUGCCCUAGAUGCCGGGAAUACAACUGUGAAUGUAAGGGAGGAAAACCUUUUUCUCUACCCUUCUUAAUUUUGGGGGGGCUUAUUUAUUAAUUAAGACAGAUUAACAGGGGACUUCCCUGGUGGCGCAGUGGUUAAGAAUCCGCCUGCCAAUGCAGAGGACACAGGUUUGAUCCCUGGUCCAGGAAGAUCCCACAUGCUGCGGAGCACCUAAGCCUGUGCGCCACAACUACUGAGCCUGCGCUCUAGAGCCCGCGAGCCACAACUACUGAAGCCUAUGCGCCUAGAGCCCGUGCUCCGCCACAAGAGAAGCCACCGCAAUGAGAAGCCAGCGCACUGCGACAAAGAGUAGCCCCCGCUCACCGCAACUAGAGAAAGCCACGCGCAGCAAUGAAGACCCAACGCAGCCAAAAAUAAUUAAAUACAUUUAUUAAAAAAAAAAAAAAGACAGCAAACUACAUUUGCAUGCCUUAACUAGGGAAGGGCAACCAUCAAGUUUCAAGGAAGCAUCGGGACUGUGGACGUUGUCCAUUAGCCUUGUAACUUUAAAAGGAAUUUAUCAAAUUUAGCAAAACAAGUGACAACUAACCCUGCAAUCAGGAGACCAGGAGAAAGGGAGUAAAAGAUGGCUCUGGCUGCACACCUAGUCGGGGCUGCGGCACCCAGAACUAGGAAGCUUUGCUCUCCUCUGGGUUUUGUCCCUCCCAGAUUUCUGAGCUCAGGAGCAGUCGCUCUGCACUGCAGCUUGAGCCAGUUGCGGAAGACCUAACCAAGCCCAGCCCAAAAGAAGGAACGGCUUCGGGGCUGUUUGUUUCUCUUUGAUAAAGGAGCCCUUCCUUGUUCUUGCUUUUGCUCUCUCUGGUAUUCGAUGCAGCAACCCCCCAGAAGCGAUUUAGAGUGACUGGUAAAACAAAGUAUACCAAAACCUCGCAGCAACCAAAAGGAUGAAGUUCCUUCUGGACUGCCUCCAGCUUCUGCCCUUACUGCUCAUCUGCACCUUAAGAGUCUCUCCUGAAGCUUUUCAUUCCGAAGAAGAGAAAAGCAGUCACCGGAGAAAUCGUCCUGAUUACUGGAGCUGGACACGGAAUUGGGAGACUGACUGCCUAUGAAUUUGCCAAACUUAAAUGCAAACUGGUCCUGUGGGAUAUAGAUAAGGCAUGUGGGAUCUUAAUUCCCCAACCAGGGAUCAAACCCGUGCCCCCUGAAUUUGGAAUGUGAAGUCUUAACCACUGGACUGCCAGGGAAGUCCCUGAUCCCUCUAUCUUAAUCAUAUGGAAAAAGUUAAAGCCGGAUACGAGUUCGGAUUCUCCUCCUGUUAAGUCGAACGGAGCUCGAAAAAAUCACGGAGUGUGAUGUCUAAACACAAUGGAAUGAAAGAAGAAAAAUCUCUUAACUGAGAAAGGCUUCUGUGGAUGAGGAUCUAGGAGCUACGUAAAUGACUGGAGUGACGUGCUGAAGACCAGAGGUGGGUGGAGAGUAUUACCACUCCGCGUGAAGAGGUAACGGAGGCCAAAGGAAUGGCUGAAACGGAGCAGGAGAGAGUAGAGAAACUCCGCCGUGCAAGUCUUUCCAGACUCACAGGCAUAGAAGACAAACUUACGGUUACCAAGUGGACAAGUGAAGGCUAUGGGGAUUAUCAGAUACAACUACGAUAUACAUAACAUAGCUGACCAACAAAGAACUCCUAGAAUACACCUAACAUAAGCAAGUACUGAGGAAGGUGUUCCCACCAAUCAGGAUACAGUGAAGUGUUGUAUUUAACUCAUUUGUGACAGGAGUAUCGAUGCAAAGAGG